rnacentral:rRNA from 1 species
UUCACACAUGCAAGUCGAACGAGGUAGCAAUACCUAGUGGCGGACGGGUGAGUAACGCGUGGGAAUCUGCCUUUAGAUGGGGGAUUAAACGAGCCGAAAAGGGUUCCGCUAAUACCGCAUAUGCCGCAAGGUGAAAGGAGUAAUCCGUCUGAAGAUGAGCCGCGUCCGAUUAGCUAGUUGGUGGGGUAAAAGGCCUACCAAGGCGACGAUCGGUAGCUGGUCUGAGAGGAUGAUCAGCCACAAUGGGACUGAGACACGGCCCAUACUCCUACGGGAGGCAGCAGUGGGAAUUUUACGCAAUGGGGAAACCCUGACGUAGCGACACCGCGUGAGCGAAGAAGCCCCUUGGGGUGUAAAGCUCUGUCAGCUGGAACGAAACAAAUGACGGUACCAGCAGAGGAAGCAUCGGCUAACUACGUG